rnacentral:rRNA from 1 species
AGAGUUUGAUCAUGGCUCAGAACGAACGCUGGCGGCAUGCCUAACACAUGCAAGUCGAGCGAGAACCGAGAGCUUGCUCUCAGGGAAAGCGGCGCACGGGUGAGUAACACGUGGAUAACGUACCUAUUGGUUGGGGAUAACCUGCUGAAAGGCGGGCUAAUACCCGAUAAGCUCCUUCUGAGUACGCUCGGAAUGAGGAAAGCGGGGCAACUCGCGCCGAAUGAACGGUCCGCGUCCCAUCAGCUAGUUGGCGGGGUAAUGGCCCACCAAGGCUACGACGGGUAACUGGUCUGAGAGGACGACCAGUCACACUGGGACUGAGACACGGCCCAGACUCCUACGGGAGGCAGCAGUGGGGAAUAUUGGUCAAUGGGCGAAAGCCUGAACCAGCAAUGCCGCGUGAGUGAUGAAGGCCUUCGGGUUGUAAAGCUCUGUCAGGGGGAACGAAAAAAUCGAGUAACGAUCGAUCUGACGGUACCUCCAAAGAGC